rnacentral:rRNA from 1 species
UACGAAGGGGGCUAGCGUUGUUCGGAAUUACUGGGCGUAAAGCGCACGUAGGCGGACUAUUAAGUCAGGGGUGAAAUCCCGGGGCUCAACCCCGGAACUGCCUUUGAUACUGGUAGUCUCGAGUCCGGAAGAGGUGAGUGGAAUUCCGAGUGUAGAGGUGAAAUUCGUAGAUAUUCGGAGGAACACCAGUGGCGAAGGCGGCUCACUGGUCCGGUACUGACGCUGAGGUGCGAAAGCGUGGGGAGCGAACAGG